AACGCGAAGAACCUUACCUGGGCUCGAAGCACAGUGGACCGGGGUAGAAAUAUCCCUUUUCGCAAGAACUGCUGUGGAGGUGCUGCAUGGCUGUCGUCAGCUCGUGUCGUGAGAUGUUGGGUUAAGUCCCGCAACGAGCGCAACCCUUAUCUUCAGUUGCUACCAUUUAGUUGAGCACUCUGACGAAACCGCCUCGGAUAACGGGGAGGAAGGUGGGGAUGACGUCAAGUCCUCAUGGCCUUUAUGUCCAGGGCUACACACGUGCUACAAUGGCCGGUACAAACCGUCGCAAACCCGUGAGGGGGAGCUAAUCGGAAAAAGCCGUCCUCAGUUCGGAUUGCAGUCUGCAACUCGACUGCAUGAAGCUGGAAUCGCUAGUAAUCGCGGAUCAGAACGCCGCGGUGAAUACGUUCCCGGGCCUUGUACACACCGAGACGAC
rnacentral:rRNA from 1 species